UACGGGGGGGGCAAGCGUUGUUCGGAAUUACUGGGCGUAAAGGGCGCGUAGGCGGCCUGCUAAGUCGGACGUGAAAUCCCUCGGCUCAACCGAGGAACUGCGUCCGAUACUGGUGGGCUUGAAUCCGGGAGAGGGAUGUGGAAUUCCAGGUGUAGCGGUGAAAUGCGUAGAUAUCUGGAGGAAUACCGGUGGCGAAGGCGGCAUCCUGGACCAAUACUGACGCUGAGGCGCGAAAGCUAGGGGAGCAAACGGG
rnacentral:rRNA from 1 species